AUCUGGUUGAUCCUGCCAGUAGUCAUACGCUUGUUUCAAAGAUUAAGCCAUGCAUGUGUAAGUAUAAAUAAUUUUACUUUGAAACUGCGAAUGGCUCAUUAUAUCAGUUAUAGUUUAUUAGAAAUACUUUACUACUUGGAUAACCGUAGUAAUUCUAGGGCUAAUACAUGAAUAAAUCCUCAACUUCGGAAGAGGUGUGUUUAUUAGUAUGAAAACCAUAUAUCUUCGGAUAUAAUAGUGAGUAAUAAUAACCUUUCAUAUCGUAUGUCGUAAGAUAACGAUAGUUCUUUCAAGUUUCUGCCCUAUCAGCUUUCGAUGGUAGUAUAUGGGACUACCAUGGCAGUAACGGGUAACGAAGAAUUUGGGUUCGAUUUCGGAGAGGGAGCCUGAGAGAUGGCUACCACAUCCAAGGAAGGCAGCAGGCGCGUAAAUUACCCAAUCCUGACAUAGGGAGGUAGUGACAAUAAAUCACAAUGCGGAACUAUUUAGUUUUGCAAUUGGAUUGAGAACAAUGUACAAAUGUUAUCGAUAAACAAUUGGAGGGCAAGUCUGGUGCCAGCAGCCGCGGUAAUUCCAGCUCCAAUAGCGUAUAUUAACGUUGUUGCAGUUAAAAAGCUC
rnacentral:rRNA from 1 species